rnacentral:rRNA from 1 species
UACGUAGGGCGCAAGCGUUGUCCGGAAUUAUUGGGCGUAAAGAGCUCGUAGGCGGCUUGUCACGUCGGGUGUGAAAGCCCGGGGCUUAACCCCGGGUCUGCAUUCGAUACGGGCUGGCUAGAGUGUGGUAGGGGAGAUCGGAAUUCCUGGUGUAGCGGUGAAAUGCGCAGAUAUCAGGAGGAACACCGGUGGCGAAGGCGGCUCACUGGCCCGGUACUGACACUGAGGUGCGAAAGCGUGGGGAGCAAACAGG